AAGUCGUAACAAGGUUUCCGUAGGUGAACCUGCGGAAGGAUCAUUAACACGUAUCCACGUAUCCACCCCUGUGCACAUGUACGUGUCUGGUUUGUUGAGUGAUAGGAAGUGAGGAUUGAGCACUCCGACCGGAGUGAACUCCGAUCUAUCUUAUCUAGCGCUGCGAGCGCGAGCUCGGUAAAUUUCAGGCAUUUUUAACCAUACCAUUUACCCCAAUGACUAAUUAGAAAUAAGAGUGUGGUUCGCCCACGUUCUUUGUUUCGACCUACGAAAUGUAACAACUCUUAGCAACGGAUAUCUUGGUUCUC
rnacentral:misc_RNA from 1 species